rnacentral:rRNA from 1 species
AUUGAACGCUGGCGGCAGGCCUAACACAUGCAAGUCGAACGAGCGGCGGACGGGUGAGUAAUGUAUGGGGAUCUGCCCGAUAGAGGGGGAUAACUACUGGAAACGGUAGCUAAUACCGCAUACUAUCGGAUGUACCCAUAUGGGAUUAGCUAGUAGGUGGGGUAAAGGCUCACCUAGGCGACGAUCCCUAGCUGGUCUGAGAGGAUGAUCAGCCACACGGGAACUGAGACACGGUCCAGACUCCUACGGGAGGCAGCAGUGGGGAAUAUUGCAAAAUGGGCGCAAGCCUGAUGCAGCCAUGCCGCGUGUAUGAAGAAGGCCUUAGGGUUGUAAAGUACUUUCAGCGAGGAGGCGUUACUCGCAGAAGAAGCACCGGCUAACUCCGUGCCAGCAGCCGCGGUAAUAC